rnacentral:misc_RNA from 1 species
UUUCCGUAGGUGAACCUGCGGAAGGAUCAUUAUUGUAUAACCGAGGUGCGAGGGCUGUCGCUGAACCGACAGGUUGUGCAAGCAUGAGUGCUCUGACAAACAUGCAUUUCACCCCUAUGUGCACCACCGCGUGGGUCCCCCUUUGGCUUGUUCGGAGGGGGGCUUACGUUCUAACACAAACUUUGUAUGCAGUGUAGAAUGUAUUUUUUGUUUUUGCGAUCACGCAAUCAAUACAACUUUCAACAACGGAUCUCUUGGCUCUC